UCUACUGUGACCCAAACCAUUUUCCCUUAAAUUUGACAAACUAGGUUAUUCAUGGGGCUUUAAUGAUUUGAGGGGACGGACUGCUGCCUACAGAGUCUAAAAGGCAACAGUAAAAUUCAACACAUCUGUAACUCCAGAUUGUUUCAUAGCAUUUACUGUUAAAUACCAAAGUCCUAAUUGGCGCAUAAAUCGCUUGUUGGGAUGGUAACUGUGCUGGAGACGGGAGAAAGAGAGAGAAAAUGAGUUCCCGUCACAAUAAGACUAAAAGCUAAUAAUCCAGUCACAGCAAUCGGACCUUAUAUGCGGAAAGUCGCUGAAAACUUGAAGGGAUUUUGGGGAUUUAAACGUCCCGCUUACUGGCUCUGAGGAGAGGGAGCUCUGGCUGUGACAACAACAUCGUUUCUGAAACCAAAAGAGGUGAUUAUUUCACACGUUUAUACUCGGAAGUGAAUAAAAAGUCAUUCUAAAUCAGAGGAAGUUUGGUACAGUCGCAAAUUUUAAAUAACAUAAGGCGAAGGAAAUUUCCCUGCAUCCAAAUUAACAGCUUCUCACCAAAUUAAACAAAACAAAAAUCCUCAGUUUUACCUUUUUCACCAAUCCUGGUGUUACUUUCUGACCCACAGCUCACAUUUUAAAUUCCAUAUCAAGCAUAUCUGUAACAUUAUUUUACUUCCAAAACACUGGAAAACUCCAGCCCUCUUCUCUGAUGCUGAAACUACUGUAACACUUCAUCACCCUUCACUGUCCCUCG